rnacentral:rRNA from 1 species
UACGUAGGUGGCGAGCGUUGUCCGGAAUUACUGGGCGUAAAGGGCGUGUAGGCGGCCAUUUAAGUCAGAUGUGAAAUACCAUGGCUUAACCAUGGGACUGCAUUUGAGACUGGAUGGCUUGAGGAUCGGAGAGGGCAGUGGAAUUCCCAGUGUAGCGGUGAAAUGCGUAGAUAUUGGGAGGAACACCAGUGGCGAAGGCGACUGCCUGGACGACACCUGACGCUGAGGCGCGAAAGCUAGGGGAGCAAACGGG